CACGCCNUAAACGAUGUCGAUUAGCUGUUGGGCAGCAUGACUGCUUAGUAGCGAAGCUAACGCGUGAAAUCGACCGCCUGGGGAGUACGGUCGCAAGAUUAAAACUCAAAGGAAUUGACGGGGACCCGCACAAGCGGUGGAUGAUGUGGAUUAAUUCGAUGCAACGCGAAGAACCUUACCUGGUCUUGACAUGUACGGAACCCUCCAGAGACGGAGGGGUGCCUUCGGGAGCCGUAACACAGGUGCUGCAUGGCUGUCGUCAGCUCGUGUCGUGAGAUGUUGGGUUAAGUCCCGCAACGAGCGCAACCCUUGUCAUUAGUUGCCAUCAUUAAGUUGGGCACUCUAAUGAGACUGCCGGUGACAAGCCGGAGGAAGGUGGGGAUGACGUCAAGUCCUCAUGGCCCUUAUGACCAGGGCUUCACACGUCAUACAAUGGUCGGUACAGAGGGUAGCCAAGCCGCGAGGUGGAGCCAAUCUCACAAAACCGAUCGUAGUCCGGAUUGCACUCUGCAACUCGAGUGCAUGAAGUCGGAAUCGCUAGUAAUCGCAGGUCAGCAUACUGCGGUGAAUACGUUCCCGGGUCUUGUACACACCGCCCGUCACACCAUGGGAGUGGGGGAUACCAGAAGUAGGUAGGGUAACCGCAAGGAGCCCGCUU
rnacentral:rRNA from 1 species